rnacentral:rRNA from 21 species
AAAUUGAAGAGUUUGAUCAUGGCUCAGAUUGAACGCUGGCGGCAGGCCUAACACAUGCAAGUCGAACGGUAACAGGAAGCAGCUUGCUGCUUCGCUGACGAGUGGCGGACGGGUGAGUAAUGUCUGGGAAACUGCCUG